GCAGAGCAUCCUACGGGAGGCAGCAGUGGGGAAUAUUGCACAAUGGGCGCAAGCCUGAUGCAGCCAUGCCGCGUGUAUGAAGAAGGCCUUCGGGUUGUAAAGUACUUUCAGCAGUGAGGAAGGUGGGUAUGUUAAUAGCAUACUCAUUUGACGUUUAGCUGCAGAAGAAGCACCGGCUAACUCCGUGCCAGCAGCCGCGGUAAUACGGAGGGUGCGAGCGUUAAUCGGAAUUACUGGGCGUAAAGCGCAUGCAGGUGGUUUGUUAAGUCAGAUGUGAAAGCCCGGGGCUCAACCUCGGAAUUGCAUUUGAAACUGGCAAACUAGAGUACUGUAGAGGGGGUAGAAUUUCAGGUGUAGCGGUGAAAUGCGUAGAGAUCUGAAGGAAUACCGGUGGCGAAGGCGGCCCCCUGGACAGAUACUGACACUCAGAUGCGAAAGCGUGGGGAGCAAACAGGAUUAGAUACCCUGGUAG
rnacentral:rRNA from 1 species